GGCAAACAAAGGAAGGCAGAUCUCCUCUCUUCAUUCCUCCAGGGCUUCUGCUGCCACCACAGUUGCUACUGUAUCUUCAGGAAACAGCCUAAGAGAAGACUGGAAGUGAAACAUCCUCCAGUCACCAAAAUGGUGUGGUUGCGGUCCCCCAAAGUCUCAAAGGACCUGAAACCAAACAGGUAUUCUCGUUGUUUGCAUAUUCCAAUCCUACUUUUCCUCACCUCCUGGCAAGAUGGUAUUACAGAGAUGAGCAGCUUACAUAAUGUACUUGAUUAAAGAUUCAGGCCUUUUGCAACGAAUCACCACUGAGAUAAAAUAUUCAGUAGCACGAUUUCCAGACGAUAUAAUUUCCACAAUGUGACUUGUGCCUCAUCAAGCCGAAAAGACUGAGUAAUAACCAAACACCACCUCCAGAUUUUUAAUGGAACCGUGUUCCCAUUUAAGGACUUCACUGCUCAGUGUACGUCGCAUUGUUUAAUAAUGAAAGUUCCCUUUUCCAC
rnacentral:lncRNA from 11 species